rnacentral:rRNA from 1 species
GUCCCGCCUGCCCAGUGAUAUAUUUUUAACGGCCGCGGUAUUCUAACCGUGCAAAGGUAGCGUAAUCACUUGUCUUCUAAAUAAAGACCAGUAUGAACGGCUAAAUGAGGACAAACCUGUCUCCUACAACAAAUCAGUGAAACUGAUCUCCCAGUACAAAAGCUGGGAUAAACACAUAAGACGAGAAGACCCUGUGGAGCUUACAAACAAACGGUCAAUGAACCACUUUCCAAAGAGAACAAUGACCAUGCGUUUUUAGUUGGGGCGACUUCGGAAAAAAACAAAACUUCCGAGAACAGGACCAUCACCCUUUCCAAGGGUUACAGCCCAAAGAA